UCAGAUGGAAGGGGGGAGGGGCAGAACUCUAAGGCCUGGAGGACUAAGCUCAUGACCUAGAGAGUUCUUAACGUCUGGCCUAAGAAUUUAGCGGUUUUUUUUAACUCCUCCCAACGGCGAGCGUCGGUGGGCCUCAGAGGCGGAUCCUGAUACGCACCGUCCCCUCCUCUUCCUCCUCCAGCACACUUCCUCCCGGACUGUGGGGACUUCUCGGGUUUGGCUCGCUGAUCUGCCUGUAUUUUGUGUGACUUUGUUUUAAUCAACAAAAAUUCCUUUACAGAUUUUCCUUCCAAAUAAAAAAACAGGAUUGAAAGAGAAGCCAUUACCAAUUCCCCUCUGUUUUCUUUUUUCUUAUACUAAAAGAGGAAUUGGGAACGAGGCUUGCGCUUGGCUUAGGCAUUGCCUGUGACAGCCUCACGCUUCAAGGCCUUUUCCCUCCUCGUCCACUUUCCUGAGGCUUUAAAUAGCCGUUUCGUGAAGGCCUCAGUCUUUUCUUCUCCAUGGGCUCCUCUCGCCGCUGGGAUGCUGCCUGGGCUCUGUGCCGUGGCCGCCGGGCCCGCGCUCGAGAUUCCGCCCCCGGCUGACGCUCGCUGGGUUGAUCGGGAAGGGAAAACGUGAGGAGUAGAACGAGGAGCUUUUCGGCAGCGUAGGCCUCUGGAGCCCGGCUUUCCCCCCCCACGCUCAGUUACCCCCCGGACCGUGCAAGUGACUAGACCGCAGGACUUGGGACGGACGCACGCACGCAACAGCGGGCACGCGUAGGGAUUUUAAGCAACAGAUUCUACUUCAACACAGGAAAGGCUCUACAAAUGGAGACUUUCUUGACACUGAAAGCAUUCUCUUCAUGACAUUUUUGUGUUCCCAGAAUCAUUUCCAUCCAAGGCCUGCUUCUCUAAUGUUCCUAAAAAUUGGGAAUGAUGAGUUUUCAGACUAGAGUCUCUGACACAUGCAUUGGAGACAAGAAAACCACUCUGACCCAUCCUAGGAAUUUGAGGCCUUGGAUUGUAGGGUAGUCAGGGAGCUGUAUUCCUGGGUCCUUUAUCUUACCUGGUCCUGUGAGUGUCAUUGGAUAGGAAGAACUAAUAACUUAGUUAUAGAAAUAGUAAUUCCUGUUAUAAGGUUCUUAAUGUGUUCCCAUACUCUGUUUAGAGAACUGAAUUUCUGGGACUUUAUCAAAGUGGAGAUGAAGAUUCAAUUUUUUUUCUCUCAUUUUUCUUUCAAAAGUAUUGGUUUGUAGCACCUCCUAUUAGUAAAGGUGCAAGGGAGCAUGAUGGGAUUAGUAUUACUACAGAGGCACAAAAAAUGCUUCAAGAUUUGAGAUCAGGAAUGAUCUUCUGAAAGUGGCUUUGUAACUACUGUCUAGAAGGCUAUUCCCACUUGUACCUGCUUUGCAUGUUAUACUUAUUUUACCUACCUAUGUGUUUUGCUAACAAAACAGAAUUGGAAUGUUUACCUACUUAUGUAUUUUGCUAACAAACAGAAUUGGAAUGUUUACCUACCUAUGUAUUUUGCUAACAAACAGAAUUGGAAUAUUUAUGUUGGGGAAAGGGGGAGGAAGGCAAAGUUGGAAAUAAUCACUUUUGUGAUUCUUUUGUGGAUUUUUAGAGUCCUCAUCUUGUUUGUGGUGCAGUGUUGCAGAUGUUUCAGAUUCAAGAAACCAAGGGUUUUUCUACGUGGAUCACUGCUCAAAUUGGGUGGCAAGCAAACAUUUGGAUUUUUUUUUCUUUUAUUCAAUCUGUUUUUGUAUUGAAGUAAUUAAAGUUUUUUUUAUAAAACCUG
ensembl:lncRNA